CCACCUUCUUUUUACCGAUGCCUGAGGUUCACUAGGCUGUUAUAUUUUGUGACACUGAAUUUGGAUAUGAAGAUUUCUUAUCUUUUCUUUGCUGUUCUCUUCUUAGUGCUCCAAAGCACUUUAGGUUUUAUGCGUGCACCUAAUAAUGAGAUGCAGUGCAAAAACGCUGGGGGCUUUUGCUUCAUGGAUCGCUGUCCUUCUGACAU